GGCAAACACUGGUCUGACCCACCUGUGGUUAAUCAGCAACCAGUUCACUGUGGAAGGGAUCAGGCAGCUCGCUGAGGCCCUCACUCACAACAAAGGACUCAAAGAGAUAUGCGUGAAAGGAAACCGGCUCUCUGAAGAGGAAGAGCAGCAGUUUGUGUCAGAGAAGCGGCUGCGGUUCCACUGACUGGGCACCUCACAUGACGCAUGCACAGAGCUGUGUGAAGGAGGAAGUGUGUGCACUCGGUCUGUGUGCGCGAUGCUGGUGUCAGCAAACGGAUUUGGUGCAGUUUCACCCGAUGCUGUGGGGAUAAAGUCGCACCACCUCCAUAGUCUGUUUUUAUUUAUUUAUUAUUCUUAAUGGAAG
ensembl:lncRNA